rnacentral:tRNA from 1 species
GCCCUUGUGACGAAAUGGUAGACGUAUCAGUUUUAGGAACUGACGCUUUUUGCGUGCCGGUUCGAGUCCGGCCAAGGG